rnacentral:rRNA from 1 species
UGGGGAAUAUUGGACAAUGGGCGCAAGCCUGAUCCAGCCAUGCCGCGUGAGUGAUGAAGGCCCUAGGGUUGUAAAGCUCUUUCACCGGUGAAGAUAAUGACGGUAACCGGAGAAGAAGCCCCGGCUAACUUCGUGCCAGCAGCCGCGGUAAUACGAAGGGGGCUAGCGUUGUUCGGAUUUACUGGGCGUAAAGCGCACGUAGGCGGACUUUUAAGUCAGGGGUGAAAUCCCGGGGCUCAACCCCGGAACUGCCUUUGAUACUGGAAGUCUUGAGUAUGGUAGGGGUGAGUGGAAUUCCGAGUGUAGAGGUGAAAUUCGUAGAUAUUCGGAGGAACACCAGUGGCGAAGGCGGCUCACUGGACCAUUACUGACGCUGGGGUGCGAAAGCGUGGGGAGCAAACAGG